CAGAGGGUGCGAGCGUUAAUCGGAAUUACUGGGCGUAAAGCGUGCGUAGACGGUUAUUUAAGUCAGGUGUGAAAGCCCCGGGCUCAACCUGGGAAUUGCAUUCGAGACUGAAUAGCUAGGGUACGGUAGAGGGAAGUGGAAUUUCCGGUGUAGCGGUGAAAUGCGUAGAUAUCGGAAGGAACAUCAGUGGCGAAAGCGACUUCCUGGACCAGUACCGACGUUCAGGCACGAAAGCGUGGGGAGCAAACAGGAUUAGAUACCCUGGUAGUCCACGCCAUAAACGAUGAGGACUAGACGUUGGAGGGGUAAGCCUUUCAGUGUCGUAGCUAACGCGCUAAGUCCUCCGCCUGGGGAGUACGGCCGCAAGGUUG
rnacentral:rRNA from 1 species